GAGCAGUAACCAAGACAGAAGUAGGCCCAGUCUUCAUCUGGGGAGAGAGACAACAAACAGGGACAUGGCUUCCGGGGACAGGAGUGCUCCUGACUUCUCCGGGAUCCUGUGGGGUGGUGGUGAGCCACACAGCCUUGGAAAGCGUGGGUCGGAAUCCUGCUUCUGUCAUGUACUUGCUGUCCUCACGGGGCAGGAAGUCACAAAAUACUGCACGUCCGGUCUAAACACCAAUCGUGUGACGUUUCUGAUGGUCUAGACAGACUAUUGUUCAACAGGCCUCCUAAAUCAGUGAGUGGAGACAACAGGAGGAAUAUUUUAGAUUCUCAAGAAAAUACGUAUUUGUUCUGAUUGCGCUGUGUUUGUAUGGUACACUG